AGAGUUUGAUCCUGGCUCAGGAUGAACGCUAGCGAUAGGCUUAACACAUGCAAGUCGAGGGGCAGCAUGGUCUUAGCUUGCUAAGACUGAUGGCGACCGGCGCACGGGUGCGUAACGCGUAUGCAACUUGCCUCACAGAGGGGGAUAACCCGUCGAAAGACGGACUAAUACCGCGUACACUCUAUGUUGGGCAUCCAAUGUAGAGGAAAUGAAAUUCGCUGUGAGAUAGGCAUGCGUCCCAUUAGCUAGUUGGUGAGGUAACGGCUCACCAAGGCGACGAUGGGUAGGGGAACUGAGAGGUUGAACCCCCACACUGGUACUGAGACACGGACCAGACUCCUACGGGAGGCAGCAGUGAGGAAUAUUGGUCAAUGGGCGAGAGCCUGAACCAGCCAAGUCGCGUGAAGGAUGACUGUCUUAUGGAUUGUAAACUUCUUUUAUACGGGAAUAACAAGAGUCACGUGUGGCUCCCUGCAUGUACCGUAUGAAUAAGCAUCGGCUAACUCCGUGCCAGCAGCCGCGGUAAUACGGAGGAUGCGAGCGUUAUCCGGAUUUAUUGGGUUUAAAGGGUGCGUAGGCGGCCUGUUAAGUCAGCGGUGAAAUCUAGGAGCUUAACUCCUAAAUUGCCAUUGAUACUGGCGGGCUUGAGUGUAGAUGAGGUAGGCGGAAUGCGUGGUGUAGCGGUGGAAUGCAUAGAUAUCACGCAGAACUCCGAUUGCGAAGGCAGCUUACUAAGGUACAACUGACGCUGAAGCACGAAAGCGUGGGUAUCAAACAGGAUUAGAUACCCUGGUAGUCCACGCAGUAAACGAUGAUAACUGGGCGUAUGCGAUAUACAGUAUGCUCCUAAGCGAAAGCGUUAAGUUAUCCACCUGGGGAGUACGCCGGCAACGGUGAAACUCAAAGGAAUUGACGGGGGCCCGCACAAGCGGAGGAACAUGUGGUUUAAUUCGAUGAUACGCGAGGAACCUUACCCGGGCUUGAAUUGCAGACGCAGGAUACAGAGAUGUUGACUCCCUUCGGGGCGUCUGUGAAGGUGCUGCAUGGUUGUCGUCAGCUCGUGCCGUGAGGUGUCGGCU
rnacentral:rRNA from 1 species